rnacentral:lncRNA from 12 species
UUUUCGGGUCCCACAGGUGUCCCACCUGUCCCAGGUGAGGUGAGGGAGCUGCGAGCGGGGGUUUGGGGGGAUUUCCGGAAGGGAUUCUGGGGGGAUUUUGGCGAUUCGGGAUCUCACAGGUGUCCCACCUGUCCCAGGUGAGCUCGGCGAGGUGCGAGGGCGUUUUUGGGGUGGAUUUGGGGUGGAUUUUGGGCAUUUCCUGUGAGUUUUGUGUGGGUUCAUUUGGUUUCUGGGUGGGUGGGUUUGGUGGAGUUUUUUUGGGAUUUGGGAUCUCGCAGGUGUCUCACCUGUCCCAGGUGAGCUCGGCGAGGCGCGGCUGUUCUUGGGGUGGAUUUUGGGUGGCUUUAGGUGGAUUUCAAGUGGAUUUACUCUGUUUCUGGUAGGAUUUGGGUGGGGUUUUGGGCCCCCCAGGAUUUGGGUGGGGUUUUGGGUAUUGUGGGAUCUCAGAGGUGUCUCACCUGUCCCAGGUGAGUUCGGCGAGGCGCGGCUGUUCUUGGGGUGGAUUUUGGGUGGCUUUAGGUGGAUUUCAAGUGGAUUUACUCUGUUUCUGGUAGGAUUUGGGUGGGGUUUUGGGCAUUUUGGGAUCUCGCAGGUGUCUCACCUGUCCCAGGUGAGUUCGGCGAGGCGCGGGCGCUCUCGGCGCGGGUUCCGGGCGGGUUUAGCCGGAUUCCGUGUUGAUUCAGGCCGGUGUCGUGCGGAUUCGUGACAUUCCCGGCCAGGCCCGGUGCAGGUUUUCGGGGAAUCCCGAGCGUCACAGGUGCACCCCGCCUGCCCGCAGGUGAGUUCGG